rnacentral:lncRNA from 1 species
GAACGUGCUCAAAAAAAUUCCUUGAUGCUACGUUACUAGUACAAAGCAACAACAGCUUUACAUAUAUAGAGAUUACCCCCUUCAAAAACAUAUACAGAGAUUACACAUUAAUAGCAAAAUUACACCCAUACGGCUGGAUUUUGAAUUUUUGAUCAAUCUAAUUAAGUUAUACUUGCCAGCUUUCUCUAACAUAUAAAAAAGGAAAACAAAAAUACGCAUGAAGAAACAAAAAAGAAAUCAAAGGCCUGGUAAAUUAGUUAAUUAAUCAACGGUGCUAUAUAUACCAUUUAUUUGGGUUAUUUCUCUUGUUAUUUGUUUUUGUUUUAUAAAUUUAAUACUUUUUUUGUGUCUUCCUCUCCUAAUAUACUUGACAAGGACGGCGAGCGGCGGCGGCGGCGCGGCUAGGCCCAGAAGCCGGCGAGGAACGCGGCGAUGCGCCGCGCCGAGCGCGCGAUGAAGGCGGCGCAGAGCUCN